rnacentral:rRNA from 1 species
GGGCCCGCACAAGCGGUGGAGCAUGUGGUUUAAUUCGAUGAUACGCGAGGAACCUUACCAGGGCUUAAAUGUAAGUUGCAUGGAUCAGAGAUGGUCCUUUCUUCGGACUACUUACAAGGUGCUGCAUGGUUGUCGUCAGCUCGUGCCGUGAGGUGUCAGGUUAAGUCCUAUAACGAGCGCAACCCCUAUCGUUAGUUGCCAGCAAGUAAAGUUGGGUACUCUAGCGAGACUGCCGGUGCAAACCGAGAGGAAGGUGGGGAUGACGUCAAAUCAUCACGGCCCUUACGUCCUGGCUACACACGUGCUACAAUGGCCGGUACAGAGAGCAGCCACUACGCGAGUAGGAG